AAAGCCACCCUGAGUGCGGAGAAAUGCAUUGAGGAAACAUAGAACGGGACGCCUGGAAUUACCACUGUGCACAGGAGAAGCCUAUUGCCUGGUGCCAACUGGGCAUACACUUGGCUCCUUAUAUUAUCAUCACACUGCGGGUAACACCGGAUCUAGACUGACAUCGCUGCACAGCGGCUCUCUGCACUGACAUAUCCACCGCGUAGCCACCAGCGCCGGUGUGCAGGAACCCCAUACAGCUGGAAUCUGGUUAAUUUAUGGCUGGUCAAGCGAAUGGAUAAACCACACAGCUCCUGCACUUGCAGCUCGUAUUGCUGACAGUAUAGCAACAAAGUCUGGUGGGCCGCUUGAAACUGCUUUUGGUGUUCAACAGUUUAGCCACUACAGUGAGCCGCAUUAACAACAUUGGCACCCUGCUACUGUGAUAAUACAGCCGGAGGACACACAUUUAUCCCUUCAUUAUGGGCUACACAAUAUGGAUUAUGGUGUCAGAGACUGAGUGAACUAUUCUGAGAGUCUCCACCUAACACCAGCAAUUGUGGUUUUCCAUGAAUCAUUGGCAAUGCUGCAGGAGUGUCUCAUUAGGCAAUCUAAAAUAUACCACGACUAUGGGUGGGGAUACAGUAGAUUUAUGAUGAUUCAUUCAAAGUUGUCUUAUGGACUGGAAUAGAACUCUUAGAUGCACACCUGUUACUAUCUAUUGGAGCCCAUCUGAGCUAUAUGACCCGUCCCGGCAGCGGCCUGUCAGCUAGUCCAAGCUAUUACAAGGGGAGACCGCUUUGGAUGUCUGGUUGCCAUGGCAACUUGAGUGUGGACGGUGCCCGGACGGAUGACGCUUCGAUACGCCGGGUUGCCAUGGUAACGCGCAAACAGACUCGAGAGCAGAAGUGAUGGAAUCACGCUUCCGGUAUCCAUGGUAACCCGACGACGGAUGCACACCGGGAGGAGUGUAUCGUAAUGAGACAGCGCUGCAUAAGAUUGGGCAUUAGAGAUGUUAAAUACUAAAGAGGGAAACGGAAGAUGGUAUCCAGCCUUGAAAAAGACUCCGGAAAGGAGUUGAAACGCGUCGGCAUUUUCGGCAUCUGUGGGCUACGUCCAGUGGAAGUGCAUGCUGAUUCAAGGACCAGGGUAAUUCCAGUCAUCUGCCUGGGCGGAAUCUGGUGUUUAAGAACUUGAUUGAGAACUUUUUGUGGGUUCUCUAUCGCUCUGGUAAUUGUUGCAUUCAUUUCCCCUGUGUUCCACACAUAUGGAUGUCUGAUACCAUCACUUUGUGUCAAUUGUACUUGUCCUGUUAUUGUGUGUUGUAUUAAAACUGUAUUACACA